AACACGCACUUGUUUUCUUGUGUUAAAGUCCAUUUCACUACGAUGCUCACCAGAUUUUCCAGGCAAGAAACCUGCGGUGCCGUUGUGUCCAUUACGCGCCCACAGACCACCUUCCUGACUACCGUGUAAAACCUCCCAUGUCACAUGAUCACAAGGGCAGCACUACACACAUUGAGGUGCUUCUGGGAUCUACCCCCUUCCUGGAUGAGAGGCUCCUGGACCCAGCCUGUGGGUGCAGAUGGCAGAAGAUUCCCCCCACCUGGGCUGUUCUCGUCACGACUACGAGAGCAGCGACGGGCUGUCCAGGAAUCUCUUUGGCGUUGCCCCCAUAAUCCUUCUGCUAUUGGCUCCCGGGAGGUUUGCUGGCCCAAGUCGUCCUCAAGCCGUUCCGGUUGGCGGUAGAGGUUCUGCAUUGGCCUUUCGUGGGAGGACGAGAACCGCUGCAAUUGGCUCGCGCUGGAUGUGGCUGAGAGGGGCUCCAGUUCCAGGUCUGUGCCUCUGGAACCUGAACACAGGUACAAAGUCAUUGUCCACUAAUGUUUAGCCUCUAAACCUGGUGCCUCAGCAUUGUCUAAAGAGGUUAUUCAUGGGGGAGGGUGUGUGAAGCUCUCAUAAAGCCAAACAGAGUGCUGAGAAAGAGUGCUGAAAAGCCUACUUUGGAAAAUGAUUUGCUUAAUGGUAUUAUUAAGUUCUGCGGCAGACUGAAAGCCUUUUCUUCCAGACCCGGGGGUAACAGAAUAUUAGAGGGCACAAUGUGUAAGCAACACCAGCACUAUAGAAGAACAUAAUAUGAGCAGAUCCAGUGUCACCACAGGUAUCCAAGUUCCGUGUCGGAAAAUGAUUGGAGCCCUCAGAAGAUUUCUGGAACAUCAAUCAGUACAGUACUUCCUAGCUGAGUGCCUGAUACUCACUGGCAUAGCUAGGUCUCCUCGGGGGGGGCCUGGAUUCCAUGUUCUUUCUGGGAGGCAAUGAGAAAAACCUGUGUCGCCUGGACACACCCUGAAAGAUAUGGUGGAGAGGUAGGAGGUAUGAGGUCACAGCAGGGACAUGAUCUCCAAAUGAUAACAUACGUGUGAGCAGAACAGUGAACUUCCUCAAAAUCCACUUAGUUUACAGCACAAUCAAUGCCAGUGAUAUUUCAGGUAUAUACUGCAUAACACAUUGUGUUGAAAUUAUGUACAAAGUUAUCCUUUUUAAGGUCAGAAUUUGAAUGUCACAUCGUAAAUAUGAAACGGGUAGAACCUUGUUUGUUUUAAUAUUAAUAAAACAAAUAAAGGCCUUCAACAACUGA